rnacentral:rRNA from 1 species
CCUACGGGUGGCUGCAGUGAGGAAUAUUGGUCAAUGGGCGCGAGCCUGAACCAGCCAAGUAGCGUGAAGGAUGACUGCCCUUCGUAUUGUAAACUUCUUUUAUCAAGGAAUAAAGUGAGGCACGCGUCCCUUUUUGUAUGUACUUUAUGAAUAAGGAUCGGCUAACUCCGUGCCAGCAGCCGCGGUAAUACGGAGGAUACGAGCGUUAUCCGGAUUUAUUGGGUUUAAAGGGAGCGUAGAGGGGUUGUUAAGUCAGUUGUGAAAGUUUGGGGCUCAACCGUAAAAUUGCAAUUGAUACUGGCAGCCUUGAGUACAGUUGAGGUAGGCGGAAUUCGUGGUGUAGCGGUGAAAUGCUUAGAUAUCACGAAGAACUCCGAUUGCGAAGGCAGCUUACUAACCUGACACUGACGUUGAUGCUCGAAAGUGUGGGUAUCAAACAGGAUUAGAUACCCUAGUAGUC